GGUAUGUUUGGGUGGGCAGCACUUACAAAAAGAGGGAGGGAGAGGGGAGUGAAGUAGAGAGAGAAUUUUGCAACCUAGAUAACUUCCAUAUGCAAUGCUCUAAGUUAGACAGUUUUAGUUCUGAUUGCAAAAUAUAUAAGAAUCAACAAAGUACAUUCUCAAGCAUCCAAGACUAAAAUGUGGAGAAGAAAGUUUAACCACUAGCAAAACCUGAAUUGCAUAAAAACUAGAAGAAUUAAUUCAGAUGCACUGAAAACACCACAAAGUUCAUGUUGACAGAAACAUUUAAUCGUAAAAAUUUUAUCAUCAAAUUACUUGGUAGAUGCAAGUAAUAAAGAAAGAAAAGAAAAG
rnacentral:misc_RNA from 1 species